GCAGUAUCUAAGAAUCUUUCAGAACCCCGCUGUUGAGGAAAAUAUAUUUAUAUCAAUAAAAGUGGAAAAGAAACUUUAAAGUUGAAUUAAGUUAGAAAGGAAGAAAAAUGUGUUUCAGUAUCGGAAAGGGAAAUGUUAUUCUUGGCACAUCAAGCGUUUCUGAGUAGCAGGGCCUCCUUCAGGGGCCCUGUGCAGCACAUAGGAUGGUCUCAUAUGAGGGUGCAGCCUCGUCUGCCCAAGUCAGGAUACGUUUAAGCAGUUUGCAGACUGACCUGGGGGACCUUCCGCCCACCUCUCCCUUCUCAUUCUGCAGUUGUACCUUCCUGGUUAAUAGGUCCACAGGCCAAGGGAAGCGCAGGCCAAGAAUGCUCAAGUCAGAGGAGGCUCCCCCUGAUUGGGCCUUGGAAACGCCAAGGAUGACUGCCAAUGGAAAGACGGUUUGUUAUUCUCAGAGUUUCCAAGAGAAGGUUUUGCACUGUGCCACGGGGCAGUGGGGGGUAGCACACACGAGGAAGCACAGGUUGGGUCAGGAGGCAGAGCAAGAAAGGGAAACUGUGGCAGGAGAUUUUACUGUGGUGUCGAUGGAAAGGAACAAGUGAGACAGGUUAGCCGGUUUAGGAUUGGCUAAUUAGAAUAAUUUCAGUGGGCUCUAGGACACAGGGACUAUCUCCGCUGCUGCUGCUAAGUUACUUCAGUCGUGUCUGACUCUGUGUGACCCCACAGACGGCAGCCCACCAGGCUCCCCCAUCCCUGGGAUUCUCCAGGCAAGAACACUGGAGUGGGUUGCCAUUUCCCUCUCCAAUGCAUGAAAGUGAAAAGUGAAAGUGAAGUUGCUCAGUCGUGUCCGACUCUUUUCAAACCCAUGGACUGCAGCCUACCAGGCUCCUCCGUCCAUGGGGUUCUCCAGGCAAGAGUACUGGAGUGCGGUGCCAUUGCCUUCUCUGAGGAACUAUCUCUAGUUGUCUGAUUAGGGCAGUAGCAGCCUAGGGUAUAAUAGCUCCAUCAAGGAGGUGGCUCUGGACUGACUGAUUUGCAUGAAAGACAUGCUGUUGCUUUUUUUUUAUUUUUGGCUGUGCUGAGUCUUCAUUGCUCUGCGGGCUUUUCCUCUAGUUGCAGAGAGCAGGGGCUACCCUCCAGUUUGGGGACCAGGGCUUCUUAAUGUGGUGGCUUCUGUUAUUGUGGAGCACAGACUUUAGCGUGCAUGAGUUUCAGUAGUUGUGGCUCCCAGUUUCGAGAGCACAGCCUCAGUAGUUGUGGCGCACGGACAGGUCCAGUUGCUUCAUACAAGUGGGAUCUUCCUGGACCAGGGGUCAAACCCAUGCCUCCUGCAUUGGUAAGCAGACCCUUUACCACUGAGCUACCAGGGAAACCUGGAAGACAUGUUUAUAACAAGUUAUUUGCUUUCUGUAGGAAUGAGGUAGCCCUGGAAUGGGCAGUGACUCCAGAGUCAGCAGGGCCCCAAGAUGUCAGAACAUCAGAGCAGGGUAAAGAAAAGGCAUGGCUGAUACAACCAUUCGUAGGUUUUCCAGCCAAGAGCCCAAAGGUCUCAGCCUACAGCUGACAACUGGCAUCAGCCACAAUGUAAGAACGUGAGCCUCCAGACACUUCCCGCCCCAGCCUGCAAGAAGCACCGGCGACACCACAUAAAGCAGAGGCGAGCUAUGCCUGUUAAGUCCUGCCCAAAUUAAGACUUGGCACCCUCAGGCUCUGCUCCUAAAAGGAACCAGGAAGACAGAGCCAGAAGCAGAAACAGCUGGAAUCAGAGAAAGACCGAGACACAGAAAAACAGGUGGUCUUAGGAAGCUGAGGAAGGUGGAGGAUGCAGGGCCCCUGUCCCAGGACUGUCUCCCACACUGGAACCGUAUCUGGGCUCCACCUGACGAAGAGACCCGCUAGGUCUGCCGGCUGCCCUUUGCCAGAGGCGCUUCGGGAAAACUUAGAGGAGGUUAGUUGCUUCCCCUGGUGAGUACGCGACCUGGCUGCAACCAGCUCCGGGUUCCAGGGGUCGUGGAGUGAGAAAACGUCCUACCAGCCUGGCUUCCUCUAAGCCACGACGAGGAUGGACGUGAAGUGCGCG
ensembl:lncRNA